UUUUUUUUUUAUUUUAAUACGGUUAUACUCGUUAUUUUGACAACAACAAAUGAAUUUGAGUUUGAUCGAACCAAUAACUUACUCGUAGUGAAUUUUUGAUAUAAUGGUUUUAUUUUUAAUUUUCUACUUGUAACUCUUGUAUGUUUAUUAUUUAUUUAAUUAAAACAAUGAGCAAAAGUUAUUUCAGCAUGAAAAAAUAAGUUUUUUAUUUUUUAUUAAAUAAGUGCAUACGGUAGAAAAGUUCGCGUUGUGUCAAAAUAUCCUUAAUAAUUGGUACUUAAAUCAUCUGCAAGGAUAUUACGGUAUACCUUUAAUUUUAAAAUCCGUUUUACUCGUACGCUCCAUACAUUUGCUUAGUACAAAAAUUCACUACGCGUAAGUUAUUGUCAAAAUUACGAGUAUAACCGUAAUAAAAUAAAAA